rnacentral:rRNA from 1 species
CCUACGGGAGGCUGCAGUGAGGAAUAUUGGUCAAUGGGCGCGAGCCUGAACCAGCCACGUAGCGUGAAGGAUGACUGCCCUACGGGUUGUACACUUCUUUUAUAAAGGAAUAAAGUGAGGCACGUGUGCCUUUUUGUAUGUACUUUAUGCAUAAGGAUCGGCUAACUCCGUGCCAGCAGCCGCGGUAAUACGGAGGAUCCGAGCGUUAUCCGGAUUUAUUGGGUUUAAAGGGAGCGUAGAUGGGUUGUUAAGUCAUUGGUGAAAGUUUGCGGCUCAACCGUAAAAUUGCAAUUGACACUGGAAGCCUUGAGUACAGUUGAGGUAGGUGGAAUUCGUGGUGGAGCGGUGAAAUGCUUAGAUAUCACGAAGAACUCCGAUUGCGAAGGCAGCCUACUAAACUGCCACUGACAUUGAUGCUCGAAAGUGUGGGUAUCAGACAGGAUUAGAUACCCCUGUAGUC